rnacentral:rRNA from 1 species
UAGAGGAAGUAAAAGUCGUAACAAGGUUUCCGUAGGUGAACCUGCGGAAGGAUCAUUAUCGAGUUUUGAAUGUGGGUUGUAGCUGGCCUUCCGAGGCAUGUGCACGCCCCGCUCAUCCACUCUACACCUGUGCACUUACUGUGGGCUUCAGGUCGUGAAGCGAGCCCUUKACCGGGCUCGCGGAGCGCAUCUGUGCCUGCGUUUAUCACAAACCCUAUAAAGUAAUCGAAUGUGUAUUGCGAUGUAACGCAUCUAUAUACAACUUUCAGCAACGGAUCUCUUGGCUCUCGCAUCGAUGAAGAACGCAGCGAAAUGCGAUAAGUAAUGUGAAUUGCAGAAUUCAGUGAAUCAUCGAAUCUUUGAACGCACCUUGCGCUCCUUGGUAUUCCGAGGAGCAUGCCUGUUUGAGUGUCAUGAAAUCUUCAACCUACAAGCUUCUUAAUUGAGUUUGUAAGGCUUGGAYUUGGAGGCUUGUCGGUCCUUGUAGGUCGGCUCCUCUUAAAUGCAUUAGCUUGGUUCCUUGCGGAUCGGCUUGUCGGUGUGAUAAUGUCUACGCCGCGACCGAGAAGCGUUUUGGCUGAGCUUCUAACCGUCUUGUUAUAAAGACAACAUUAUGACCUCUGACCUCAAAUCAGGUAGGACUACCCGCUGAACUUAAGCAUAUCAAU